AUUGUUUCUUGGCCUUUUGGCUAAGAUCAAGUAUAGUAUCUAUUCUUAUCUGAAUAUCUGAUAUGUCUUCUAUCUAAGCACAAUAUACUAAAUGGGUGUCUGGAGCUGGGAGAUGGGAUAAGGAGCUUGCUCUGUCCGCCCCACACAUCAACCUGGUAUUGUGGUAGUGCAGUACCUUCAGAAACAGUACACUCCUC
ensembl:snRNA U2 U2 spliceosomal RNA